CGAGAUAGAAAGAAAAACAAAUUAGCACUUAUUACACUUAUUAUUUACUUGUUUACUGCAGUUAACAGUUAAUAUUAACGACUGUCCAUUGAAUGACAACUGCGCUCUAGAUUCCUUUUCCUGAAACGCCUACGGAGAUAGUUUGGGUGCCCUGUUUCUUCUGAAGUAGACGUUAAAUUAACAUUCCUAUCCUUUCCCUUCCUUUCCUAGUGAUUGUAAGGACGUGGCCAAGUAAACGAAGUGAUGCUUGUUUUCAGACGCGCCAACUUGGUGAAAUUAUUGGGGGGGGCAAAGCCUGGUUUUUCUGAUUUUUUUAUGGGAAAAUCUAAAAAUCAUCACCCCCCCUAAGUUCGCGCCUAUGUUUGUUUUGUUCAUGGUUUUGUUUCACCAACUCUAAAGCUAGUAUGACACUCUUUGACCAAUGCCAACUAUUUGACCACUUCUGGCAGUUAAAUUUUGACCUAUGAAAAACAGAGUCAAACAAAUUUCCGAAAUGUAUCAGUCAAAAGUGGACAAAUAUUUGGCGUCUGGGCAAAGCGUGUACGAGCACCUUAAGAGCCGAUGCACACGAGCGUUAACUGACGCUGCGUCGCCGCAGCGUUCCUGUGGGGCAUGCCUUGACAUUGCGUGCCGCACACGAUGCGGCGCGGUAGCGUUGCGUUCUCGUGUGCAUCCGCCCAAUUGAUUGUGUUUAACUCAGGACGCACUUGCGUGCACGCUGCGUGGACGCGCCGCCCUUGUACAUCGGCUCUAAAGCCUGGAACACAUAGCGUCCGUUCCGUCGAGGUUUGCGUUUUUUUGACAGUUUUCCCAUGGGAAAUGUGUCAAACUAGUGUCACGCACACGCAAACGUAUGCAUUGUGUGGGGCACUUAACACGUAGAAUUCAAAACUGUACUAUACUUAUACUCGCACCCUCAGCAGCUUCUCUUGCAGCCGCUAUACUUCCGGAAGUUCUUAGUUGGUGCAAUUCGACACAAAAACCACCUGGAGAUCAACCGGAAUGACCUGCGUAAGGCAACAAUCGUAGAAAGUAUGAGCUUUUUAUUCGCACCACCACUGUAUUUGUUGACAUUGUGCUUAACAAAUCCAAAAAUCAAAACAAAAACAAAGUUUCCAAAUUUUAUAGUGGUAAUCACGUUCAAAUGUAUGCGUGCCUUUUUUGUAGAUGUAGUUGUGAAACUGCGAGGAAAAUAUUUGCACUCUUACCCCGGACGUUAGUUUUAUCAUUAUUUACCCGUUUUACCCAAUUCGAUUGGGUAAUAUUUGCAUAUGCAAUCUGAAUAGCCUUUCAAUCGGCGUGCACUUUUGUGUGAGGAAAAAUUUGCGCUAGUGUUCGUGUGUUGAAAUGUCACUUAUCUCUAUUGAACAAGGCGAUGUAGGGUGACCAGUUUGUCGGAUUAAAAGUUUACCCCGGUAAUUCGACAACAAUCGUUGUCAAAUUAGCGGAGAUAUAUGGUAGUGAACCCAAUCAUGACUACCUUGAUAGGAAACAAUCAUCUUCCAGCAUGUAGCUACAAGUACUCGUCGCUGAACGAAACAAAAACAUGCAUCGAUAUUAAAAAUCAACAAACCAAGUAGGCGGAUCCUACCGGUUGUUGUUGCUGUCGUAGUUUCCCUGCCAACCCCCGUAGUAGUCUUGGCAACUCGCACAUCCAAGUCUACACCUACUGACUGCCUGGGGAAUAGGCACAUGCAGACCCCGAUUGCAUACUCGUAACAAAAUACGGAAAUUAUGUGCAAAUGCAAUAUGCUUCCAAAGCGGGAUCGUGAAGCUGCGUCGGCACUGUCGGGCUUUUGGCCUACACACGCAUGCUGCCUGCACGUGUGUGGCGGUUCGUAAGAUCGAUGCGGACUGGAAUUUCAAGAGUGGGCAACCCCCGUUCGUAUACCAAGAAGUCAAUGGACGGACCAUGGGCUGCUGCCCAGGGGGAAAGCGGUGGAGCAUGGAGGCGUUGAUUUAUGCUGCGAUAUAUUUAUAUCCUCCGGGUACCUACAGCGUGCAACACCAGUUUAAUUAAUUUUAUGAAAAUGAGUGUCUUGUAGAACGGGUUGGGAAAUAGAUCACUCUCGGUCAAAUCUCUAGACCCACGUUUGCCAUGACUAUCGAUGACUUAAAAAAAUCUGCUUGUAAUUUUCAUACAAAUUUACAUAAAUAGGCUCUUAAAGCCCUAUCUGAUUUCUUGGUUUAAACCACAAAAUACAAUCCAAGGGUGCAUAUUUACUCAUUUUUUGACGUUUUUAUUGGCCGUGGUUAAAAAUACAUAAUUUAAUUUUUUUUAAUCUUUUGUCCCGCCCCUAGCUUAUAUCACAUACUUUGAGUGACUUUUUUUCACCGUGUACGUCAGAUAGGAACAAAUGUUGAAUCCCCAGUGCGAAAAAUGUCGAGUUCCAUCACAUCAAGGUCGACCUCAAAUGUCAAACUAGAACUACAUAUUUACCAUGUUACUUAUUUCGAAUUUUCUCAUUAUUCCUUCGUUUCUCGAGUUCGAGUAAAGUACAAUUCCGAUUAGAAAACCGUGCUUGAUCGUAUUAUUCAAUGAAAGCGAGAUUUCGCCUAUAACUUUAGGACCCUAUUGCAACGUCAGUUCGACACUAAAGUGCGUCAGAGUGUACUGCCAGUACAGCAGCCGUUCACUCGUUGCAACAUGUUUACAUUGCAACGAGCGAAUGUCAUUCGCUAAUUGAAUCAUCACUUUGAAACUAAAGUGCAUUGGAGUUCACUGACAGCAUAACUGACAGCACAAAUUUGACACUCACUCGCCUCAAAUUGCAAAAACUUGUCAUUUUUUUGUUCUUUCGACGGACUUGCAACUAAAAAGCAGAUUUGUCUGAAGUUUGACCCUUCCCAGAAGGACAUCUUGCGCUGUCUGCACGCAACGGCGAAGCCGGUUACUUUGAUUGCAGCAAUAAUCCAAUCAAGAGGUAAAUAGCGAGCAUAAGCAAUCCCACGCACAACACAUCAGUGGAAACAGGUUCGCCUUUUCCGAUCUCGAUUCGCCGAGGAGAGAGAGGGGCGUCAACAUCUUGUUGUUUUCAUCUGCCCCGCUCACCUCAGUGUAGAUCAAAAUCAAGCGACUUCAGGCGAAGUCAAUUUGUAUAGAAAAUGCCAUUCCAGGUAAACGACUACAAGGUAAUUAAUUGACACCGUGUUUGUUAAUUAAAAAAUUGGGUCCAGAGCCAUCGACGAAAAAAGAAAACAAGAUGGUAAAGGACGCUAAUAAGUCCUUUUAGCGACAACUACCCGAUGAAAAACACUAGUUUACAAAAUAAAACGAAAGUCGUGAACUUCUGUCAACGACCAAAAUUUUUGAAGCACAAUUUAGUACUGAUUUCGAAACCGUGCUUCAAAUUUUUUUAAGUAGAGCACUUUUUGAGUUUUAGCUCAAUAUCGAGUUUUACAACUUUUAAAAAUAUGGAAUUUACUAAAAUUCAAAUAUCUUGCGUUUUGUUCAACCAAUUUCAAAUCUUUUUCCAUAAAUUAAAAGCUAAAAACAAUACCAUUCGAUCAUCUGAAUGCAGGUUUUGCGUCAGAUUGAUGAAAUUCAAGAUAUUGGCGAGUUUUAGGGACGAUUUCCUUAAAUUUUAGCCAAAUUUCCAAAAAUAUAUGAAGAAAUGUAUUUUUUUCAAUAUGAAAAAAACAAUCUAAAAAUUCUUUCUCAACGUUUAUUUGACAUAUCAUAUGUAGGCGAGUUACAGUAAAAAAUUCAGCUCAAUCGCUGCAUUGAUUACGGAGAAUGAGAAGUGUGAAAUGAGCGACGUUGCUUAAAAAUAGAACAAAAAUCGAUUUCAAAUAAUCAACCUUGUAUGGAAAGUCGAAAAAAAUUCCGCUCUACUGUAUUUUUUUUCCUUCGCGUUUUCGAACUCAGUGCAUGAUUCUACACCAAAAAUGAUCAUCAGCUUACCGAGUUCAAAAAUGCUGUAAACUAGUGAAAUUACUAAUAAAACACCGAUAUUCGGUUGAAGUAACCAUAGUCUACAUUGGAAUUUGGAAUCGAUAACCAAAUUUUAGCUAAAGAAGUCUACACGGAGAAACGAAAGUACCCAAAAGUGAGUUCAUUCCACCCAACUUCGAGGUUGCGUGCGGGAAGCCAAUUUUGAGUUGAUGGAGUCGAUGUUGAGGUAGGUAGUUUGCAUUUAGGCGUAUACGGCCAAAGUACCUAGAGUCGAAGUUCUUUUUACUCAACCGUCAGUUAAAAUUACUCAACUUUCGGUACCAUGUCACUUACUCAAUUUUGGCUUCCUGCAUCGAACUCUCAAAGUUGGGUUGUUUUGCUAUUCACUCUCAAAGUAUCUAAAUACCAAGGUAAGAGAUUCCCGCUAAAAUCCAUGGAUUAGUGAGAAAAGGAAAAAAGCAAAAAAUAGUUAUGAAGUUUGCGCUGAUUUGUAUGGGCGCAUAACUAUUUAGCAAACUUUCUUAAGGAAUUAAGCACUCCCAUCAUAGAAGCAAUUAUUUCAUUGCAUCUCACUGGAUUAAAAAUGACCUCCAUGCUAUAAAACAGAAAAUAUCGUCAUUUGAAAAUCGAUGACAAAAUUUUUUUAAUUUGUGCUAAACAUAUUUUUUCAGCAUUUAGAAUCAUCCAAACUAAUUAAACUUUACAAACUUUGCUGAAAUAAUGACAUUUUAGUGUAAAAACGUCAACUUUUCAUAAAUAAAGCAGAUGUGUUGGUGAGUCUCGUUAUUGACAUUUGCGGGAAUCUCUUACCUUGGUGUUUAGAUACUUUGAUUCACUCUUUGACAACAAUAAAGAGAGCGAAUGAGAGAGGAUGCAAAAAAGAACUAAAAAAUGAGUUAUAAAUACUCAAAUUUAGGUUCUCUUGUUUUUCAGUGUAACAUCUCAAAGAAAACGCCCAAGAAAUCGCCUACUUUGAUGCCACACUGGGAUUUUUUUUUCAACUCGGGUUCCCCAUCGCUUCUGCACGCGUGGAUGCAAUUAAAGGGAGGGACAACAGCACGGCAGCCAGCGACCGCACAAAAAAUGCGAGUAAAUAUUUAGGCUAUAUUUAGCGGAACCUGUUCGCUUGGGCUGCAGCAGCAGCAGACACGGUUUCAACAACGGUCAACCACAAUCGUCCCGCGUCCGUCGGUGCAGAAAAAAAAGGUAAACGAAAACAAAACCAAAACAAAUAAAAGUCGCACCAUCUUUCUUGCCAUGGCACUGCCAUGGCAACCCGACGGUCAUCCGAUCGAUCGAGCCGCAACGACUUGGAGAUGGAGAUCGCCACGUAUCGAACCACUCGCAUCUUGGAAGGUAUUUAUUUUUUCGGUGGUUCGAUAUAAAGCCUUCAGUACACGCUUUGCCAAGUGUGCAAACUUUUUCGCACGCAUCAAACAACAUCAAAGCAAACGCUUGACAUUAAAUAUCGAUGUUUUGUCAAUGUUACGACCGCUGUUGGCCUGCUGGGUUAUGCGUGCGGAAAAAUUUGCACACUUGUCAAAGCGUGUACUGAAGGCUUAAGACAGAUUACCGGAGAUUUCCAAGAGAUUGUUUAUUCAACAGUUUUGAAACGUCAAUAUUAUGUAAUUAACAUAUAAUGUAAUGGUAUUUGACAUUCAGAUAUAUUGUGACAUGUCAUUGUGACAUGUUGAGCAUUAGUCAUAAGAAAUCGAUUAAAAAUGACCAUUGUAGUGCCCCUCGGCUUAAGUGAUGCCAAACUAGAUACAGUGGUAAUCGCUAGUUUGAACAUUACUUUUCAGCAAGCGAAUGCCCAAGUAUAGAUGACAAUUCUCUUAGGUAUGCUAGAUCCUCCAUUGCAUCAGUAGUGGUAAAUAGUUUUGCACAGAGCUCAAAUGGGAUUGCAUAACUAUUUUUGAUGUAUGGGUGGAAAUAAUGGCGAUCUAGCAUACCUUAGAGCUGACAUCUAUACUUGGAGCGAAUGUUACUCGUCAAUGGAUCACUAAAAUAACAAAAACGGCCGCUAUGAAAUGUACAGAUAGCGCCACUGUAGCCUUGUGUGUUUGACGUAACUCGACUGCUGUCACUGUGUUAUGGUCCACAUAUACGGUGACGCUUUUGUUUUGAUGCGGUGCCAGCAUUACUGACAGCAUAAAUUUGACAUUAGAUUGCAUUUUAACAACAAUAUCAUGUCAAACUUUGAACCUAGAGCCACAGACAACAACAAAAAAAUCGCUGCAACAAUCCAAGUUGCAAAGAGCAAAAAAAAAACUUAUUUUAAUGAACUGUCACUAAGGGACAGGAUAAUGGGCCUUUUCAUUUGACGUCUAAAAUCAGCUGAUUUUGGUGGCCUCUGACAGUUCAGUGUUUGCGCUUUUGUUCGGCAGUUGUAAACAGUGGCAUACGUAAACCUGUCAACUGAAAAGACCUAUGGCGUUGACUUUUGACAGGAAGAGGUCAGUAACGUUAAGAAAAUUUAUAUGAGUUAAACAAUUUUCCGCGACUAUCAAAACGAACAUCAACUUUUGGCGCCAGCAACCUUUCCCAAGCAGCAAGAGGCGUCGUCUCAAGCAGUUUACAUCAAGCGGAGAAAAACAAGUCAAUUUCCGAUCAAUAAAUUAUUAUCGCUGGUCUCUUGCCGCAGUAUGCGACAAGCGGCUUACUGCGAUAAAAUACCAUGAUAUUCAGACUAGGCAUGCAGUGCCAAUGGGUCCCUCACUUUGCGACGGUGGGUCCCUCUAAACGGUGCUCCACCACACGCGCCGUCACGCCAUCGUAGCAACCGGUUCCGAAAAUUUUGCGCUACUAAUUGUGUAUUGCUGUUCACGCGCUAAUCACAUGUCCGCUGCGCUGCGCUGGUCGGCCGCUAGACGGUAUGCAGACCGCAACAUUAGCCAUGCAGCGCAGCCGGGCCAGGCCGCGGCGACAGGUCGGCUAGCUACGGACCGGCGUGUGUUUGGUGCUUCUUCUUCUGUUGUUGGUGGACGACGCAUGGUUUUUCUGUUUUUGCUGUGUGCAGUUGUUGUGGGUAUCUUCUUAUCGUGUCAGCGUCAGGUUUUCUUGCCUAGCGUCGUCGUGGAGUUGUUGAGCGCCGAAGAACAAGCUCAUCAGUCCUAGAAUGAGGACUGUUGCCAAGCGACCACCACCGCACGCGCAGCAACUAUAGGAUGAUGAGAUUCCGAAAUUAGGAUUAUGGUUUGGUGAGUUCGUUCGUCGGUGGCGAAUAGAAACGAAGAGAAAAAAUAUUCAAGAGCGGUCCUGCACGAGUGACUUGCAAUUUGCAAUGGGUCAUUGUUUAUGAAAAUUGGCAGCGCAUGUUCGGAAUUAAAUGUUCGUCCGAUGAACGUGUACCGGCGGACAUCCUUGAUAUUUCCGCAACGGUCGUAAACGAUGCAAAUAUGUCGCCAAGGGGUGGUCGACCUUGCCUUCUACUUCUGAUCCGAUUGUUUAUGUUUGCUUUGAUUGUCAUCCGGGCUGUCGAUUCACUUUGACAUAUGCGGAAAAUUGGCAAAUCCUUGAAAAAGCGUCGUGUCGCGUGACGCGCCUACUCUGUUCACGCCCUAACGCGCGUCCGCGACGCAUCCGAACCUAUCCGAACUACUAGAUCGACGCACGAUUGUGACACCUGCACUCUCAAUCCUUUGUUCAAAUCUGUUCAGAUUCGAAACUUGAGAUCUGUUGUAAUACGAGCGCUCAAGAACGGGCCCUUUUUGAGUGUCUGGGCUACGUUAGGAGAACACUUUUCAUCUGACUUAACGAUCAUUCUCCCCGGUCCCGUCCACGCAAGCUGCCCCAUCCAUUUCGCGACCAAGGCUUGCUCCGUUUAUUGUGUUCUGUGCGGUCAUGAUAUUUAUAAAUGACCAUGUCGCCAUGUAGAAUGCAUACGCACGCAGCUCAAGUGGCGUCCAAUGGGAAGAAUCGUACGAUGGUUGUCUGUCUGUUGCAGUCUGUUGUGCUUUCACUUUCGCCCUGCACGGACGCGCAGACGCUCCGUAAUUUCAUUUACGGUGUACACACGCUUAUCGCACCUUGUUCGUUACUUAUCUAAAAAAUGCUUUCGUUGUUCAAACAACUGCAGGAAAUUGCAUUCUCGUCUCUGGAUAGAUUGAUGGCGCUCAACCAAUGGUUGUCUAUCUGUCUGUCUGUCAAAAUCAAGGAGUGGCUUAACAACCGCAAAUAUCCGCUCCAUUUGGGAUCAAUGGAAUUCACCGCGCGAAUUUUAUCAACGGUGAUGCAUCAUGCCGCGCUAUCCCCAGAUUCUGUCCUAUCUUGAAUUGAAGUAAACAACAAUCGCAGCAAGCCACUGAAUGUGCUAAAUGAGACGGCACCUGCUGCCCGGUUGCCAUAGAAAGAUAACAAUUAGCUAACCGGCACGAUUCGAGAGGAUGUUUUGAAUAGGUCCUAAGCAUUUUCACCCUAACAUUUCGGCCUUUUUGAUUAGUUUCUCUUUGUUUUUCGGCAUGUUUAUGCGUCACCUUGGCAACGGCAGACUUCUUAAUCGACCAAAAUAACGUUCAACCCAUUCGGAAAAGUUCUUCGAUAUCAAUGUUUACACUACCAGCCAGAGCAGCGCGGUGCAAUGAUCCUAUCGACGAUCGUUUAGCGUCGCGCUUUCGCAUAUACGACACGACUUCACAAUCAUACGCUACUAAUCGCAACGCAACUGCCGCAGCAGCUAGCAAGUCUCGUGAAUCGAUCGACUCGCGUGCAAAGAAGGAAGUGUGCGAAAUCGAGCCAAAGCAGUGACUUCCCACUCUGCGCUCUAGGCGCAGUGCACUCUACUAACUCUAGUAGCUUAUGAAUUAUUCAACAGCGUUGCUUCGAUUCUCGCCUGUCGUUGACUUACAUUUGUCAGUCGGUCGGAUGAUUCUAUGCGUCAGGGAUUUACCGCUCCGCUCCGCUCUAAGUUGAGAGAGUGUUAUUUAUCCACCGUUGAGAGGAAGCUGACCGGUUGAAGGUCCUUCGCAGUUCCGCUUUCGGAACCUGUUAUUUUGAUUUAGAUCCGUUAGUCAGCAGGUGUGACGUGCGAGCGGACGCGGUGUAAUCUUAACUGUCAGAGAGGGGUAAUGACAGGUGUCGCUUCGCAAACGCACCGUGACGUCGAACAAAUUCCGAACAUCCCAAUUGACUUAUGAGACGUUUCCUUUUAGGACGAGGAGCAAUUGCACUAAUUUCGAACGACAGUGCCGACGGUCCCACGCAGUUAAUCUGCACCUUCGGUUCUGGGCCCAGCCAGACCCAGACGAGUUUCAUUCACACGUAGGAGGCUAUGCUUUCUUUCGCUCCGUGUUCCUUGCAGCAUAAACCCAAUCCAAUUGAAGGGAGCCAUAAUUCUUCGUGAAGGCCUACGCACGGACACACAGACACACAAAUCGAACUAAGCAGGCGCUUUGCCUUCACUCGACCGAGCGAGCGCAGCGGUAUUCAGAGGUACAGGGCGACCUUCCUUUUAUGGAACCUUGGCGACGAAGACGUCUGGCGGCGAGCGGUCGGAUGCAUUUGGGAUCGUAUUUUAUGUUAAUUUUCUCUUCUGACAUAUCUACCGGCGAACGACGACGGAACGAACCGGCUUUUGACUACACGGCGGAGUCGGCGUUGCAUCGAUUACAGUGGACGUUCGAUAACUGAAACGAAUCAUCCAAGCAGUCAUGGGAAGAUAUGUCACACACUCACAACAGAUUUUCACGCAUAGCCGUGUGAUUAAUAAAGCUAUUAGCUAUUAUUUCAGUAAAAAGUAAAAAAGUAACGUUUGUUAGCUGACUCUCAGCUACACGUUUGCCGAGCUAUGAACUGUCAAAAUUGUUGUUUACUAAUUACUCGGUUGUAGAAAUCUCAGGAAAAAAAAAAUUAAAGAAAUGCUGAUAUCACGGCAAUCCGAUUUAUAUGUGCAAAUUGUAGCGCACUACAUGAAAUUCUGUCCUUUUCUUUCACUCUUAUAGAAAUUUUGUAAACAGCAAUGCCAAGAAACGUCAAAAUCCCAAAGAAAAUCAAUACGAUGCCCUGUUGGCUGUUUUCAAAAGGCCUAGGCCUCUGACCUUCCUGUAUGACAAAUUGAGCUGUCAGUCUUGUAAAAUAAACUUGGGCAAUGAUCUCUAGAAACUGCGUCCUAGAAAAGAUGAAGUGCUACUUUGGUCCGAUGGACGUGUUCAUUCAAUGAACUUUUGGACGGUUCCGUAUUAUUUAGUUUGCCAUGGAAACAAGUUCAUAUUUCGUAAAGAUGGAACCGCUCAAACGUCAAAAUAAUGAAUUCGAGUAGAGAUUCAUAAAGCAAAGAACUGAAAGAUUCAUUUUGCAAUGAAUUCGAUCAACUUCACUGCUGGCGCUGAUUGUCUGAUCUUUGACAGCUGUCAAAACGCCAGUUAUGUUCCAACUAUCGAACGCCAACUGUCAUGCUUUCGAUCCUCCGCGGUCACGGCGGUGUGCGGAUGAUCGUGUCGUCCGUCAUGGUUUACUUUGAUUGCGUGGAGAAACGCUAUAAAUAUGGGGCUCUAUGAUUGCGUUCCUUCCACGUACGUAGGUACCUCCACUACCUACCUACCUACAUAAUACAAUGUUGCGCGGCAUUUAUCGGGCGGUAAAGUGGAAGAAAGCCGCCUUUGGCCGCCUGUUCACCGUCGUAUAGGGCGUUACCAAUUGGAGGGAUACAAUAUUAAUUUAUCUGCCGUGACCUGAAGGGGCGUGGAUUGAAGUAAGUGAAGAGGAGGUGUGAUUUGAUAGGGUCCGUUAAUUGCAAUAUGGUGGUGGAAGUGAGCACGUUUGACGUUGAUGUCAGUUAUUAAUUGACGGAAUAAAUCAAUUUAUUUCAAUGGGGCAGUGUUGGAAGGUGAAGCUGAACGAAAAUUUGAAUUUAAUAUUGAUUGGUAGAAGAAUUGAGGUGUUUAUAGCUCCGUUGGUAAACUCAUCGCAAGAACAUGUUCAGGGAAUCAGGGAGUUUAUGACCCAAGUGAUCUACAGGGAUGGAAUUUCGUGAACAUUGUAACUGAGUAGACGCAGACGUAAAACAACUCUAGCCGUGAACAGGUUGGGCCCAAGAAUACUUGCACUUUUAUACUGGUGAUCAAUUCCUUGGUUUUCAAUGCUAUCCUGAUAGUCCACCGUAUAUCCAUAGAUAUAUCUAUGGUUUAUCUAUUCAUGACAUAUUCUUGGCUUCGACAUCUUCCAAUCUUCCAUUUGGAAAUGUAGGCAAUGUGUAUUUGCUUCCAAAGACGCUUCUGCCCAAAUUCUCGGAAGAUUGGAUGCGACCGGUUAUAGGCCCAAUAUUACUACACAGCUGCCGACCCGGUCCACCGAAAUUUCUCAACCAUUCUUCCCCUUAUUUUCCCCGAAAUCCCUUAUCAAUCGCAAACAAAAUUAAGCCUCGCCGAAAAAUACAAAACAACGCCAAACAACCACCCCAGGUCCAGGCCUUCUUGGAUCACGUCGCGUCGUUCGUGUGCACCUCCCCUGCUGCGUUCGAAGCCACACCGGCUGAACGCCGCGUCGCUUCGUGAGGACAUUUUAAAGUCAAAGGCUACUUAUCUCACACACGUCCCGCUCUCGUACACCUCAACGUCGCUGUCGCGCACCGCCACCCAAUGGGAAAUUACGGGAAAUACGGCUUGUUUUUGCGAUUCACGUAAACUCUUGUUGAGGUAAUUGCCUACCACCUAUCAACAAAAAAGAGAGGACCCAUUAUCUUCCAAAUUGGACAAAAAACGCUUAAAAACGCGGCGUUGGUCGUCGCGUUGUUUACGCUCCGUGUAGAAGCUUCCCGGCGGGAUGCAACGUGCACCGGCUUCUUCCGAAAUUUUCAAAUGUUAUCUGUCUAUUUUUGUAUUACAUACGAGUAUUUAGGUGUACAUUAUGGAAAAACGUCCGGUCACUCACCGGUCGGAUGAUUCAGUCAAUCCGAACGCGUGUGUACACAGCUCCCGGCUGUGGCUCAAAUUCGUGAAUAAUGAUUGUUUGAAGCGGGUGUUACUAAACACCUCGCGUCGCGGCCUACUGCUUAUCGCUCGCAAGUUCACCUUUUUGGCGGCGAUAAGUAGGGUCGUGGAAGCUAGGAUAGGAUGUGACACCUGCAACUUCUCUGUCUAAUUUCACAGCUUGCUGUCUUGUUUUUCCGCGUUGCUAAGAUUAUUGGUCCCCAAAUUGGUCUCUUUUGGGCUGACUAGUUGUCGUAUCCUAUCCUAGCGUGGAAGCAACGCCCGCUUGUUCGCGCGGCGACUGACUUCUCCCCGGUUGCCGCGAAGCGAUGCGAUAGAGUAAUACAUGAGCUCACAGGAAAACGUUUCUUGUUCGAUUUGGUGGCAAAGCCAAUCGGCGAGGGAGGCUAUUUUUGGACGAAACGCAAAUUAUAAUUGGCACAUCGACAGAUUUGCGAUUGAGGGGGGUUUGCGAAUGUUACAGGAGCAGUGGUAUUGAUCGUUACAUUACUACUUUCGUUGAGUUGACCUUUCUGGCCCAGAAGGCGGAUUCGCAGUACAGGCUACUUCCCAACACAACUGUGUCGGACUCUAGGAGACGGCGAUCGUUUCAACAUCCAGCUUUUUUCAGCAGACGAUACGGUAGCAAUCACCAGAAGCUGGACGAGCAGAUAAGUGCGAUCAACGAGAACGAUAAUCUCAACACUCUGUGGGAGUCUAUCCAUGGAGCGAUGAGUACGGCAGCGCAGGAGGUGACAGGCACUGCUCAAAGACAACCUACACACGAAAAAUCGAUUGAGGGUUUCAGCAAAAUUUUGCUGAAUUUUGCCGAGCUAAAAGUUUCAGCAAAAUUUGCUGAUUUGUUCAGUAAACUCUGCUGAUCACCAGUAACGUUUUGCUGAAAUUCAGCAAACUUUGCUGAAAUUCAGCAAACUUUUCUGAAAGUCCAGCAAAAAAUGUUUCUGGACCCUUCAGCCUUUCAGCUCGGCAAAAUUCAGCAAAAUAUUGCUGAAAGCGUUUGGUGUGUACGAGCGGGUGGUCCGACGAGGAGUGCCAGAGGUAACGGACGAGAAGAAUGUUCGUUGCCAGAAGCCGGAUGCUGAUGUCGGGAACCCAGCAGAGCAGGGAGCGAUAUACUCUCUCUCUCUCUCUCUCUCUCUCUCUCUCUCUCUCUCUCUCUCUCUCUCCCCUUCUUGGCGUAACGUCCUCACUGGGACAAAGCCUGCUUCUCAGCUUAGUGUUCUAUGAGCACUUCCACAGUUUUUAACUGAGAGCUUCCUCUGCCAAUGACCAUUUUGCAUGUGUAUAUCGUGUGGCAGGCACGAAGAUACUCUAUGCCCAAGGAAGUCAAGGAAAUUUCCAUUACGAAAAGAUCCUGGACCGACCGGGAAUCGAACCCGUCACCCUCAGCAUGGUCAUGCUGAAUACCCGUGCGUUUACCGCCUCGGCUAUAUGGGCCCUAGGGAGCGAUAUACGGAAGCAUCGAAUCCACCGCAGAAAGCAAAACUAUGUACCACGAGGAAAAUGUGAUUGCUCAGGCGCAACAAAGUAUGGAGCAGAAUGAUAUGCGGAGGGUUUACGAAACUAUCAACAGCGCUUUUUCUCGUCAUGUGCAACGACGAAUGAUGGAAACAUUCUGACAGCCAAAACGAUGAUGGCUGCCAGGUGGAAAGAGUACUUUGAGAAAUUGCUGAGGGGUGGGAAUGGAAGAGCGACAGCCAGAAUUCAAAUCGACGACGACAGACAGACUGUGGAACCUCCAACGCUAGACGAGGUCAAGACAGCCAUUAGAGGGCUGAAGAACAACAAGGCUGCUGGGAAGGACGAACUCUCGGCCGAUCUUCUCAAGCACGGUAGUGAGCAACUCUUACGCUGUAUUAUCUAUUUUCUAGAUAAAUAAAAAUGGAAUGGUGUCAUGACUUGGCUCAAGAACGGGUCAACGGACCUACAGAAUUCUUUCACUGUUGCAUUCGUGCAUGCCUUCGACGUGUUUGUGCGAAACAAUUAUUGUGAAAAACGACCGGGAAUGUAGUUAAAACGGAAAAAUGUGAAAUGUGAGGCGUUGUCAAAUCACAACACCUUGGUAAGACAAAGUUUGUCGGGACAGCUCGUAUUGAAUACAUGGGAAGAGGAAGUACUGCCUGCUAGUUGGUUGGAUGGUCUCAUUUGCCCUCUAUACAUGAAAGGGCAUCGACUGAAGUGCGCGAAUUAUGACACUUCCCAAUUCAGCGUACAAAAUGUUGUCCAGAGCUCUGUUCAACAGGCUGAGGCCAAUUGAGGAGUCAUUCGUCGGCAAAUAUCAGGCGGGUUACCAUGAGGGCCGAUCAACGACGGAUCAGAUGAUCACCCUGCGGCAGAUUCUCGAUAAAUUUCGGGGGUAUAACUUGCAGACUCACCACCUAAUUAUUGAUUUCAAGGCGGCGUACGAUUCAGUGAAGAGAAACGAGUUAUGGUGGUUUAUGAUCGAACAUGGUUUUCCGACGAAGCUGAUUAGACUGAUUCGUGCGACGCUUGACGGAUCGAAAUCAAGCGUACGGGUUGCGUGCGGAUGAAAUGUCGUCAUCGUUCGUAACCUUAGACGAACUGAAGCAGGGUGAUGCUCUUUCAAGCUUACUGUUCAUCAAGGAGCGAUUAGGAGAGCUGGUCUGCAAAGGAGCGGACCAAUCGUCACGCGGUCGCAUAUGCUCCUGGGCUUCGUGGAUGAUAUCGACAUCAUCGGGAUCGACCGUCGGGCCGUGGAAGAGCCGUUCAUACCUUUUAAGAGGGAGACUGCGAGGAUUGGACUUACGAUUAACAGCACAACCAACGUGGUCAACGUCGGUCCGGUCGUGGUAGUGGCGACGAAGUAGUGCUAGGUGGUGAAUAAAGUGUCUCGAGUAUACCAAAGUGGCGAAUCCUUGUCGUUUUGACAGGUCUCCUGCUCGAUUGGAACUAUGGAGAUGACACUAAAUCGGCUGUUCCAAUUUUGACGUUUCUCCUCUUUGUUUUAUCCAGGCUCGUUAGUGCUGAAAAGUUUUAUCACAGAGAAACAGACGUAACACUUUCAUAACAAAUUUCAUUAAAAAUCAUCGUCACGAAAAUGUAACUGCCCAAUGCUAAACGUACUGUGUUUGGCCGGGCCAUCACUAGGUGGCGGUAGUGAGGAAACGUCAAACAGGAGCAAAAUCGAUGCCAACGCCGCAAGUGGUCAAUUGGCCAAUUACCAACACUUUGAAACAACCGUUAAAAGAGUUUAUCGAUGGCAAGCGGUCGGAGUGUGACGUCUGUUUCUCUGUGGUUUUAUGUUGUGGACGAAUUUGUUUAUUCUUCCGGUCACCCUAUACGGCCAUGAAUCGUGGACGUUGAGAGAAGUUGAGCGGAGAGCCUUUGGAGUGUUCGAACGUAAAGUGCCCCACACAAUGCAUACGUUUGCGUGUGCGUGACAGUAGUUUGCCACAUUUCCCAUGCGAAAACUGUCAAAAGAACUCAAACCUCGACGGAACGGACGCUGUGUGUUCCAGGCUUAAGUAGUUGCUGCGAACAAUACUCGGCGGUAAACUGGAGGAAGACAUCUGGCGGCGUCUGGCAUGAACUACGAAUUGUACCAAGCUGAGUACUGCGGAUAGGAACGGUUUUAUUAUUCAAGCUAUCCAACGCACACAAGCACACCACCGGCACUCAACUUGAAAACAUGCACGAGCCUUCAAUUAUCUUGCCACCAACUCUCUUGGCGCAGUUGUCGAACACGCCGUCGCUACGCCGUUCGAAAAAGGUAAACAAUAUGAUCAAUCCCCCAUGACUCUCAUUUUGUGCUCGUGUUCAACUGAGUAACGCGGACUCAACCCCUUUUUGUUGUCAAGCAAAUCUUGAAACACGAUUCAUGUGUUAAAUUGGUCACAUCUGUCAUUCGGGUUUCUUUUUUCUCCGAAUUUUACUUUCUCCGCUCUCUCAGAAGAGGUAAACCAUGUUCAAGCAUGUAUCUGUACACAUGACUUUAACAAAGUUUGUUUACAUUCGAGGAUAAUUCAGAUGUCUCCUACAGUUCUUUAUCGCUUAUUCACGAUUUUCACCGCUCCAGUACCGACUUGUUUUGUUAGAACUUGUGGACGUGGGUUACAAUGCGGUGCUCCGUGAAAGGUUGCCGUUGGAAAGGUCACGUUAGUGUUUUAUUAUUUCUCGGCGGAUGUGUUUCUGAUCAAAAUGAGAGAUGGAAAAUGGUUUGAUCACAGACAAACAGACGUCUCACUCUACUCACUUCCCAUCGUUUCCCUUUUUAACGGAUUAUUCAAAUAUUCCGUAGUUCGCAAAUCGCUCGCUCAUGGCGCUCGCAUCGCUUUUGCUCCUGUUUGACGUUUGCUCACUACCGCCAUCUACUCAGUGGGUUUGCGUACCACAGCAUAAUUAGCAUUGGGCGAUUAUGUUUGCGUGACGAUGAUUUUUAUCGCAUUUUGUUCCAAGUGAUACGUCUGUUUGUCUGUGAUUUGAUCAUAUGUGAGAUGCCGUUUGUUAAAAAAUUAAAUUGAAGUUGAAAAUAUUUUAUUUUAAUUCCAAUAUAAUACAGUAAACGUUCGGUCGGUGCAAACGGUUUAACUGCAAUGCUUUUGAACUGCAAGUCCGGUAAGUGCAACUAAUUUGCAGUUAUCGCACCGCUACCCGUCAAAAUGGUGCGCCAAGUUAGCUCAAAUGAACAGUCGAAUGAAUUUUGCAUUCAUUUAACGUCAAUUGAUGGGUUGUUGACGCCUGCCUGACGUUGCAGUUAUCGAAUUUUGUUCGCUAAGUGAAACGUAAACAUGUUGCAGUUAUCGAACGUCUACUGUACAAUACUCCCGAAUCGAUCACACAGGGUGAACAAUGAACAUAACCUCAAUCUACAAUGUUUAUUGGCUCCCGAUUCAGGCUCCCGCAGAGAGAGCAUAUUGAGUCAGUCCACGGGACCCAGGUGUUCAAUGCUAAUGAAUUCGCGGUAGAAAUUUUGAUGUAUAGUCUUGGCAAACUACGCUAAAAUAGGCUCAAAAAAAUAAUGUUUUAUACUUUGCCUCGCUUUCAUCUUGAUUAAGUCUAUUUUGUCAUGCCUAGUUUAACUUGUUUAAAAUGGUUUAAAAAUAUCUGGUUGUAAUACUUUUUUCUGUCGGUUGGAAUAGCAUAAGUACAGUAGCUGUGGGAGCCGUGACAGUUCGAUGGAGAUAUUAGGACAGCGGUCAACGGAGAUACCUUGACAACCGUUCUGAUUCAGUCCGCAGCACCCAGGUACCAAGUAUUGCGAGGUAUGCACUUCAAACGGAAUCGCUCAAGUAAUUUUCGUUCAGUGCAUUAUUUUUCCGUGACCGGAAUGGUAAAGAAAUUUAACACAGCAAGCCCCAUUUGAUUUGACGUUUCGUUUCAGCUCCGUACUAGGAUCCGGAAUAAAGCGACGCUUUCUUAUUUCUUGAGCGAUUCCAUGCCUGAAUUUCCCACGCAUCGAGAUAGGCCAAGAAAUUUCUUGCGAUCUCCGUACUACCCAUAUAUAAAGAGAUGGAUAUAGUGAAGCGAAUAGGGCACUGUCCAUAAUCUACGUACUCAUUUUUGGUCAUCUCAGACCCCCCUCUCCCCCACCGUAGACAAAAAAACAAAACUGUUCGAAUUUAUAAAUUUGAAACAGUUCUAGAUGCUUUUUUAACCUCCCAUGCAUUUUAUAACGCUCCCGGAGGGCAUGCCCUAAUCAAUCCCUAGUCACUUUGGAAUACUUUACUACACGCAGAAAAAUAAUUUGUAAACACAAUUAAAUUCUAGUUCAAAUCAACCAAUUUUUCAGUUUGUUAUAGCGACAAACUGAUUUCUAGUUUAAACUGAACUGUUCCAUUGUUCGAUAAUACAAAUAUUUUCAUUUGCCGAAAUUUUUCACAGUUUGUUAGAACAAGCAGAGAUUUGGUAGUUUCAACAUAAAAUAACAGAUUGAUUUAAACGACUGCACUUUUGCCACUAACAAAGCCGGGAAGUGAUUGUGUUGGUGACGGCAGCUCCUGCGGCAGCUCGGAAAUCUAUUUUUAGACACUCGACAAGCGGAUGGAAGCGAGAACGAAUAAAAAAGGCAAAAAAUCGAAACCGACCAACUUUUUUUGGAUGCAGUCUUGAGUACCUGCGCGUUAUCCAUCACGGCCAAAACUGCACUUGGAAGUUGGAGUGAUGGAUUUGCUACACUUUCUUCGGUGUGGCGAUGUUGGGGUAAGAAUUUUGAAGAUGUGUGGGUGCUUCCGGGCCAUGUUUAUGG